rnacentral:lncRNA from 1 species
CAAGUAACUUAAAUCUCUACCCAUUCUGCCCUGCCUUCACAUCGUUGGGUUUCUGUCCUGGUAUGUCCACAUAGGCUGCCAUAGGGACAGGUUCAAGAACUGAUGACUCGUAAUAUUGUGAGGAGCACAGUUUAGGAAACCACAUGUGUAGGAAGGCUUGCCUCCAACAAGCCUUAGGAGAUUGACUUCAGAGCCCAGCACUUUGCUCCAAUGGCUGGACUUGCUCUAGUUACACGUGCACCAAAGGUGGGGCAGAGCUUCUUAAAAUUAGGAACACACUUGAAGCAUUGUCCUCCUUAUAAAAAUGUAUUUUACAAGUUAAAGUGACAAACUUUUAACAAUGCAAAAUUUCCAUUAUCUUCAUGUUAAAAAAAUUUAAAGAAAUACUGACUCAUAAACUCCUAAAACAGC